AACCACACAAAUCAAUGAAUGGAUUCACAUCCGCGAGAUGACGUGACUGUUUCACCUAGGACGAGGACAUGGCAUCCUAUUACCAGCAAUCGCACGAAAUUAAUAGGAUGCUACGUCCUCAUCCUAGAUAGAACAACCACGUCAUCUCACAAGUGAAUCCAUUCAUUGAUAGUGUGGUU
rfam:Oryza rufipogon genomic scaffold, chr12